CUACGGGACGCUGCAGUGGGGAAUAUUGCACAAUGGGCGCAAGCCUGAUGCAGCCAUGCCGCGUGUAUGAAGAAGGCCUUCGGGUUGUAAAGUACUUUCAGCGGGGAGGAAGGGAGUAAAGUUAAUACCUUUGCUCAUUGACGUUACCCGCAGAAGAAGCACCGGCUAACUCCGUGCCAGCAGCCACGGUAAUACGGAGGGUGCAAGCGUUAAUCGGAAUUACUGGGCGUAAAGCGGACGCAGGCGGUUUGUUAAGUCAGAUGUGAAAUCCCCGGGCUCAACCUGGGAACUGCAUCUGAUACUGGCAAGCUUGAGUCUCGUAGAGGGGGGUAGAAUUCCAGGUGUAGCGGUGAAAUGCGUAGAGAUCUGGAGGAAUACCGGUGGCGAAGGCGGCCCCCUGGACGAAGACUGACGCUCAGGUGCGAAAGCGUGGGGAGCAAACAGGAUUAGAUACCCCCGUAGUC
rnacentral:rRNA from 1 species